rnacentral:rRNA from 1 species
UACGUAGGGUGCAAGCGUUGUCCGGAAUCAUUGGGCGUAAAGAGCUCGUAGGCGGUUUGUCGCGUCUGCCGUGAAAGUCCGGGGCUCAACUCCGGAUCUGCGGUGGGUACGGGCAGACUAGAGUGAUGUAGGGGAGACUGGAAUUCCUGGUGUAGCGGUGAAAUGCGCAGAUAUCAGGAGGAACACCGAUGGCGAAGGCAGGUCUCUGGGCAUUAACUGACGCUGAGGAGCGAAAGCAUGGGGAGCGAACAGG